rnacentral:rRNA from 1 species
UCGGAGGAUCAGGGUUCGAUUCCGGAGAGGGAGCCUGAGAAACGGCUACCAUUUCUAAGGAAAGCAGCAGGCGCGCAAAUUACCCAAUCCCGACAUGGGGAGGUAGUGACAAGAAAUAACGAUACGGGUCUUGAUUCAAGUCUUGUAAUCGGAAUGAGUACGAUUUAAAAUCCCUAACGAGUAUCCAUUGGAGGGCAAGUCUGGUGCCAGCAGCCGCGGUAACUCCAGCUCCAAUAGCGUAUAUUAAAGUUGUUGCAGUUAAAAAGCUCGUAGUUGGAUCUUGGAGGUGUUGAGGAUUUGGUCCACCUGGAAGGUGAGUAUUGAUCCUCACUCUCUAUAUUUAGUAGCAAUAUACAUCUGUACUUAACUGUUAUGGGUGUCUGGUUGAACGGGGUGACUCGUGAGGCCGGGGGUUGGGUUGGUUUUGAGGUUGGUGGUGCGCUUCGGUGUGUUGCCAGUUUCGGGGCCAGUUCAAUCAAUAUUCUACUUUUUUUACUUUGAAAAAAUUAGAGUGUUUAAAGCAGGCCGUGUGUGGCCAUUGAAUAUAUUAGCAUGGGAUGAUGGAACAGGACGUGAGGUCCUUGUUUUGUUGGUUUUGAAGGUCUUACGUAAUGAUUAAAAGGGUCAGUUGGAGCUCUUUGUAUUCCGUAGUCAGAGGUGAAAUUCAUAGAUUUACAGAAGACAAACUACUGCGAAAGCAUCGAGCUAGGAUGUUUUCAUUAAUCAAGAACGAAAGUUAGGGGAUCGAAGACGAUCAGAUACCGUCGUAGUCCUAACCAUAAACGAUGCGGACCAAGGAUUGGAGAACGUUAAUUUUCAGUAGACUCCUCCAGCACUUUGCGAGAAAUCACAAGUCUUUGCGUUCCGGGGGGAGUAUGGUCGCAAGGCUGAAACUUAAAGGAAUUGACGGAAGGGCACCACAAGGGGUGGAGCCUGCGGCUUAAUUUGACCCAACACGGGGAAACUCACCAGGCUCAGACAGCAGUAGGAUUGACAGAUUGAAAGCUCUUUCUUGAUUUGUUGGGUGGUGGUGCAUGGCCGUUCUUAGUUGGUGGGGUGACUUGUCUGGUUGAUUCCGUUAACGAACGAGACGUCCGCUUACUAAAUAGUGACUGGAAGAUAUUGUAUUAAGGCUCUGCGCGGGUUUUCCCAGGAAGGAUACGUUCCCCUGAGAGGAUCUCGUGCUGAGUUGCACUUUUUCCAGGAACACUUCUUAGAGGGACAAUUUGUGAUAAGCAAAUGGAAGUUGGACGCAAACACAGGUCUGUGAUGCCCUUCGAUAUUCUGGGCUGCACGCGCGCUACACUGAUGGAUUCAACGAGUUUAACACCUUGCUCGGGAGGGCUGGGUAAUCUUUUGAAAUUCCAUCGUGCUAGGGAUAGAUGAUUGCAAUUAUUCAUCUUCAACGAGGAAUCCCUUGUAAGCGCGAGUCAUCAACUCGCGCUGAAUAUGUCCCUGCCCUUUGUACACACCGCCCGUCGCUCCUACCGAUUGAAUGGUCCGGUGAAAUUUUCGGAUUACGGGUUUGUUUACUGAGGGUUUACGCUCUCAGUCGCCUGUGAGAGGUUAAUUAAACCUUAUCAUUUAGAGGAAGGAGAAGUCGUAACAAGGUU